rnacentral:rRNA from 1 species
UACAGAGGGUGCAAACGUUGCUCGGAAUCACUGGGCGUAAAGGGUGCGUAGGCGGGUUUUUAAGUCAGGGGUGAAAUCCUGGAGCUCAACUCCAGAACUGCCUUUGAUACUGAAGAUCUUGAGUCCGGGAGAGGUGAGUGGAACUGCGAGUGUAGAGGUGAAAUUCGUAGAUAUUCGCAAGAACACCAGUGGCGAAGGCGGCUCACUGGCCCGGUACUGACGCUGAGGCACGAAAGCGUGGGGAGCAAACAGG